AUAGUAAGCGCUCUGGUGUUGUCAGUGCUCUCUUUGGAGCAACACGUGCCAGGAGGUGAUCAGGGAUGGUGCUGGGACCCUUGGGACAAAGUGUGGCACAAACAGGGUGAACAAUGGUACGGAAAAUGUAGGGUGUGCACAUGUGAUGGGGAGGGUGGUACUAUGUGUAGUGAUAUUCCCUGUAGAACACCACAGAUACCUGCUUCCUGCCCGGAUACAGCCAUACUGGUUAACGAUGACUGCAAUUGUCCAAAGUAUGUGUGUCCUUGAGAAGGAGGAACAAGACCGGAUGACUUGAAGGGCAGUUUCUAUAACCUCUCCAUUUGCUUGGUUCAAA